AUGGGUGAUGGGUUUCCAUGGAAGAACAAUGGUUUUGGUCAACCCCUUGCAAAUCCUACAGGGGAGGCCUUCACAUCUGUUGUCUCAGCUUUGGAGCAUGGCCAAAAUGUUAAGAUGGGAAGAGUCCCAUUUGAACAUCCUGCUUCACCAAGGAAGAAAAUACUGUUGAAGACAAGUAGUCAAGGAGCUUAUCAAAUUUACCGUCUCAUUUGAGAAGUCUCUUACAAUGGCAAAUCUGAACUAUUUUGAACAAGCAAAUCAUGAAAGUCCUCCAGUGGCCACAGUAAACAUAAAGGCUGAAUUUUGAUUCCAUUGGUCCAGAUGGGAGCCAGCUUUUUAAAAAAAAAGUCUUCAGGUGAUUCUUAUGUGUACCCAAGGUUGAGAACUACUGAAUUAGAUGCUCACUUGAGGUUUUACUGGUUUAAAAUUAAGCCACAGGUUUGGAUGAAAUUGUCAGAACAUGUGGAAGAAUAAGAGAAAAGCCAACGACAGACCUCAGGGAUCGUCUGUGUUAAGUGUGGAUGGAGGAAGAAGAGAGGCCAGAAAGUAAGAAGAGAACCAGGAGAGAAGAGUUUCCGGGACAUCAAAGAGGAGGAAGUUUGAAGAAAGGUAGACCAGUCAGCAGUG